UAUACCGGUGUAAAUUAAGCAUAUCAAUAAGCGGAGGAAAAGAAACCAACAGGGAUUGCCUUAGUAACGGCGAGUGAAGCGGCAAAAGCUCAAAUUUGAAAUCUGGCGCUCCUAGUGUCCGAGUUGUAAUUUGGAGAGGCAUCUUCCGGAGGGGUCCAGCCUAUGUUCCUUGGAACAGGACAUCAUAGAGGGUGAGAAUCCCGUUCACGGCUGGGUAUAUACCCUCCAGUAGGUAGUGCCUUCUACGAGUCGAGUUGUUUGGGAAUGCAGCUCAAAAUGGGUGGUAAAUUUCAUCUAAAGCUAAAUAUAGGCGAGAGACCGAUAGCGCACAAGUAGAGUGAUCGAAAGAUGAAAAGCACUUUGAAAAUAGAGUCAAACAGUACGUGAAAUUGUUGAAAGGGAAGCGCUUGAGACCAGACUCAGCCUUGGACAAACAACUUUCCUUCAGGGUGGUGCACUUGUCCUCGGCUGGGCCAGCAUCAGUUAGGGUGGUGGAAUAAAGGCUUGGGGAAUGUGACUCCAUUUUGGAGUGUUAUAGCCUCAGGUGCCAUCUCAUCUGCCCUGACUGUGGACCGCGCUUCGGCUAGGAUGCUGACGUAAUGGUCUUUAGCGGCCCGUCUUGAAACACGGACCAAGGAGUCUAACAUCUAUGCAAGUGUUUGGGCUGUAGACCCUUACGCGAAAUAAAAGUGAACGGAGGUGGGAACCCUGAGAGGGGUGCACUAUCGACCGAUCCUGAUGUCUUCGGAUGGAUUUGAGUAGGAGCAUAGCUGUUGGGACCCGAAAGAUGGUGAACUAUGCCUGAAUAGGGUGAAGCCAGAGGAAACUCUGGUGGAGGCUCGCAGCGGUUCUGACGUGCAAAUCGAUCGUCAAAUUUGGGUAUAGGGGCGAAAGACUAAUCGAACCAUCUAGUAGCUGGUUCCUGCCGAGCU
rnacentral:rRNA from 1 species